AAUGAAUAAGAAUAUUGUUCGAACUUUGUUUGAAUAGCUUCAAUGGGAAGCAACUCCGGGUACCUGUGAAGACACUUGGUAAAAGUGUUAGUACUAAAUAAAUAUGAAUAAAAAUAAAUAAAUAAAACAAUAAUUUAAAAUAAAAAUUUGUCUUAUUAACAUGAGAGACCAUGGAAAUCGAAAGAAACAAAGAACAAAAAGAAUAAUAUUUUAAAAAUAGACCACUAGUAAAUCGCUAACAUCCUUUAGACAAUUCAAAAUAAAUAAUAAAAUAAAGUAAACAUGCAAAC
rnacentral:lncRNA from 1 species